rnacentral:rRNA from 1 species
GGAAAGGUGAAAAGAACCCCGAACAGGGGAGUGAAAUAGAACCUGAAACCAUACGCUUACAACCGGUCGGAGCAGCUUCGUGCUGUGACGGCGUGCCUAUUGAAUAAUGAGCCUACGAGUUACUAAUCACUAGCGAGGUUAAGUGCAAGGAUGCACGGAGCCGAAGCGAAAGCGAGUCUGAACAGGGCGUUUAGUUAGUGGUUGUAGACGCGAAACCUUGCGAUCUACCCUUGAGCAGGUUGAAGGUUGGGUAAAACCAACUGGAGGACCGAACGAAUAAGCGUUGAAAAGCUUCUCGAUGACUUGAGGGUAGGGGUGAAAGGCUAAUCAAGCUGGGAAAUAGCUCGUACUCCCCGAAAUGCCUUUUGGGGCAGCGUUGUAAUAAAGAGUCUACUGGAGGUAGAGCUACUGAUUGGAUGCGGGGGCUUCACCGCCUACCAAAUCCUGACAAACUCCGAAUGCCAGUAGUAUGAUUUACAGCAGUGAGCGACCGGGUGCUAAUGUCCGGUUACGAGAGUGGAACAACACAGACCAGCAACUAAGGUCCCCAAGAGUAUACUAAGUUGAUCUAACGAUGUUUUGUUGCAGAGACAGCUAGGAUGUUAGCUUGGAAGCAGCUAUUCAUUCAAAGAGUGCGUAACAGCUCACUAGUCGAGCGACAGAGCGUGGAUAAUAAACGGGCAUCAAGCAUAUCACCGAAGUUCUGGGCGCGAGAGCGCGGUAGGGGAGCAUUCCAUUCAGCGUCGAAGCAGUUUCGUGAGGAAUUGUGGAGCGUAUGGAAAAGCAAAUGUAGGCAUGAGUAACGAUAAUGCGGGAGAGUAACCCGCACACCGCAAGACCAAGGUUUCCUGAUCAACGCUAAUCGGAUCAGGGUUAGUCGGGUCCUAAGGGUAAGCCGAACGGUGAUCUCGAUGGACAAUCGGUUAAUAUUCCGAUACUAACAUAUACCUCGAUGGAGAGACGAAGGAACGUAAGUGCCGCCACCUGACGGAAUAGGUGGUUAAAGGGCGUAGGUAUAGGGGCAGAUUAAGAGUUAGUCCUUGCUGAAACCUGACAGUACAGAGAGCCUACGGGCAAUUUGAUAGUGCACCCAAGUCGACUUCCGAGAAAAUCUUCUAAGUUAUAGUAUAUGUCACCCGUACCGUAAACCGACACAGGUGGUCGAGGAGAGUAUCCUAAGGUGCUCGAGUGAAUCACGGUUAAGGAACUAGGCAAAUUAACCCCGUAACUUCGGGAAAAGGGGUCCCUAUGAAAGUAGGGCGCAGCGAAGAGGUCCAGGCGACUGUUUAUCAAAAACACAGGGCUCUGCAAAUUCGAAAGAAGACGUAUAGGGCCUGACACCUGCCCGGUGCUGGAAGGUUAAGAGGGGAUGUCAUCGCAAGAGAAGCAUUGAAUCGAAGCCCCAGUAAACGGCGGCCGUAACUAUAACGGUCCUAAGGUAGCGAAAUUCCUUGUCGGGUAAGUUCCGACCUGCACGAAUGGUGUAACGAUCUGGACACUGUCUCAACCGUGAGCUCGGUGAAAUUGUAGUCCCGGUGAUGAUGCCGGGUACCCGCAACGGGACGAAAAGACCCCGUGAACCUUUACUAUAGCUUAACGCUGAAUUUGGGUACACAAUGUGUAGGAUAGGCCGGAGGCUUUGAAGCGGGCACGCCAGUGUUCGUGGAGCCGACGUUGAAAUACGGCCCUUUGUGUAUUUGAGUUCUAACCCUGCGAAGGGGACACCGUUUGGUGGGUAGUUUGACUGGGGUGGUCGCCUCCAAAAGCGUAACGGAGGCUUC